rnacentral:rRNA from 1 species
UGUAAGCGUAUACCAAAGUUGUUGCAGUUAAAACGCUCGUAGUCGGAAUUUGGCAGUUCCGGAUGUGUGCACGUCGUGUGCGCACUUCGCGGGGAUUGCUUUUGUGGUCUUGCGUAGGAUGAGGCACUUUUAUUAGUGAACGUCCUCACGCAACCACUUUUUACUGUGAGAAAAUCAGAGUGCUCAAAGCAGGCAUUUGCCGUGAAUGUAUUAGCAUGGAAUAAUAGAAUAGGACUUGGUUCUAUUUUGUUGGUUUGUUGGGACUGAGUCAUGAUUAAGAGGGACAGUUGGGGGCAUUUGUAUUUCGGUGCUAGAGGUGAAAUUCUUAGAUUACCGAAAGACAAACUGCUGCGAAAGCGUCUGCCAAGGAUGUUUUCAUUGA